rnacentral:lncRNA from 10 species
UAACUAGCUUUCAAGGUGGCAGAAAAGGUGUUUUACUUGAAGAAUUUGAGGAGAGGGAAGACUUACUGAUUUGCAUUAUCAGUCAGUCCCCAAUUACCUUGGCAUAAUCAGUCCCAUUAUUUAGUGUUACUCAUUUUUAACCAGAACUGUCUGGGUGUAUCAGAGCACAAUUGGGAAGAUGGGCUCUUAAUGUAGUUCAGCCUCCUUUAGGGGCCUAAUGAAGGAAGACUUAUAAAUACUUCUCAAUUAUCCUUCAGAUGAAUUAGCAGCAGUUAGCCCUUGUUCCAGCGCAGUCGAUUCUUCACCAGUUGACUUUUCCAUUCUUCUUGGGAAGCGCGGCUUAAAAAGAAAGUGCUGGAGGCUCCACACACGUUUGGAGACCCCACCCCCAGCUUGUGGAACCUAUUGCAGUAUAUCAUGUCCCAUGUUGAACACAAUCGUAUAUAAGGAUAAGGACACAAGAGUGGUGGCUGCCUAACUGAUAUGGUGGUAUGUUCUGUAGCAAUUGAAAAAGCAUUGAAAAAGCAAUUUUGAAACGUUCUAUUUCGGAGCCAGUAAAUUUUGUCUUCAUCUCAUUUCUGAGGGGCCUGAAGAGUUAAAGGGCCCUGGGUGCUCCACCUGUGAGGCCGAAUGAACACUGGGCCCUGGGCGCUUAGGAAGGAGGGAAGGGGAUGCCAGGAGCAGGGAGGUGGUGCCUGGAGGCUGCCUCACUGUGAGGCUGGCAGGGGCCAGGCUCUGGGGCAGCUCCCAGCCCUCUCUGCUUCUCCCGGCUUCACCGUGGGGUGAUUCUCAUUUUUCCUGGGGCCCAGACAGCAGGCCAGCCCUCAGGCUGGUGGGCAGUGAGAGGAGGAGGACCCAGACAUGGCUACUGCUCUCAGGGUAGAGGCCUAGGCACUUCCACUGAGGGGGCAGUCUCUCACCUUUUACUUCCCG